rnacentral:rRNA from 1 species
GCGGUAUUCUGACCGCGCGAAGGUAGCGUAAUCACUUGUUUUUUAAAUAAAGACUAGUAUGAACGGCCACACGAGGACUUAGCUGUCUCCUUAGUCCAAUCAGUGAAACUGAUCUCCCCGUGCAGAAGCGGGGAUUUUACCAUAAGACGAGAAGACCCUAUGGAGCUUUAAACUUUUAUUAACUAUUUUAUAUACCCCUCUAAGGAAUCAACAACUAAUUUAAUACCCUUAAUAAAAGUUUUAGGUUGGGGCGACCAUGGAGAAAAAAAAAUCCUCCCUGAUGACAACCUACUAAGAGCCACAGCUCCAAGUAUUAAGACACUUAACUCCUAUUGACCCAUUUUAUGAUCAACGAACCAAGUUACCCUAGGGAUAACAGCGCAAUCCAUUUCAAGAGUCCCUAUCGACAAAUGGGUUUACGACCUCGAUGUUGGAUCAGGGCAUCCAAGUGGUGCAACCGCUACUAAUGGUUCGUUUGUUCAACGAUUAAAGCCCUACGU